rnacentral:rRNA from 1 species
GACGAACGUUGGCGGCGUGCUUAACACAUGCAAGUCGAACGGAAAGGCCCUGCUUUUGUGGGGUGCUCGAGUGGCGAACGGGUGAGUAACACGUGAGUAACCUGCCCUUGACUUUGGGAUAACUUCAGGAAACUGGGGCUAAUACCGGAUAGGAGCUCCUGCUGCAUGGUGGGGGUUGGAAAGUUUCGGCGGUUGGGGAUGGACUCGCGGCUUAUCAGCUUGUUGGUGGGGUAGUGGCUUACCAAGGCUUUGACGGGUAGCCGGCCUGAGAGGGUGACCGGCCACAUUGGGACUGAGAUACGGCCCAGACUCCUACGGGAGGCAGCAGUGGGGAAUAUUGCACAAUGGGCGGAAGCCUGAUGCAGCAACGCCGCGUGCGGGAUGACGGCCUUCGGGUUGUAAACCGCUUUCGCCUGUGACGAAGCGUGAGUGACGGUAAUGGGUAAAGAAGCACCGGCUAACUACGUGCCAGCAGCCGCGGUGAUACGUAGGGUGCGAGCGUUGUCCGGAUUUAUUGGGCGUAAAGGGCUCGUAGGUGGUUGAUCGCGUCGGAAGUGUAAUCUUGGGGCUUAACCCUGAGCGUGCUUUCGAUACGGGUUGACUUGAGGAAGGUAGGGGAGAAUGGAAUUCCUGGUGGAGCGGUGGAAUGCGCAGAUAUCAGGAGGAACACCAGUGGCGAAGGCGGUUCUCUGGGCCUUUCCUGACGCUGAGGAGCGAAAGCGUGGGGAGCGAACAGGCUUAGAUACCCUGGUAGUCCACGCUGUAAACGGUGGGUACUAGGUGUGGGGUCCAUUCCACGGGUUCCGUGCCGUAGCUAACGCUUUAAGUACCCCGCCUGGGGAGUACGGCCGCAAGGCUAAAACUCAAAGGAAUUGACGGGGCCCCGCACAAGCGGCGGAGCAUGCGGAUUAAUUCGAUGCAACGCGUAGAACCUUACCUGGGUUUGACAUGGAUCGGGAGUGCUCAGAGAUGGGUGUGCCUCUUUUGGGGUCGGUUCACAGGUGGUGCAUGCCUGUCGUCAGCUCGUGUCGUGAGACGUUGGGUUAAGUCCCGCAACGAGCGCAACCCUUGUUCACUGUUGCCAGCACGUUAUGGUGGGGACUCAGUGGAGACCGCCGGGGUCAACUCGGAGGAAGGUGGGGAUGACGUCAAGUCAUCAUGCCCCUUAUGUCCAGGGCUUCACGCAUGCUACAAUGGCUGGUACAGAGAGUGGCGAGCCUGUGAGGGUGAGCGAAUCUCGGAAAGCCGGUCUCAGUUCGGAUUGGGGUCUGCAACUCGACCUCAUGAAGUCGGAGUCGCUAGUAAUCGCAGAUCAGCAACGCUGCGGUGAAUACGUUCCCGGGGC